rnacentral:misc_RNA from 1 species
GAUGAAGAACGUAGUGAAAUGCGAUAAGUAGUGUGAAUUGCAGAAUUCAGUGAAUCAUCGAAUCUUUGAACGCACAUUGCGCCCUUUGGUAUUCCUUAGGGCAUGCCUGUUCGAGCGUCAUUUCAACCCUCAAGCACUGCUUGGUGUUGGGCGUUUGUCCUGCCUCCGCGCGGGACUCGCCUCAAAGACAUUGGCGGCCGGUUUCCCUUUGCAGGCCACGAGCGCAGCACAGCGAGCGCUCUACGUGGACGCGGGGUCGGCGCACCAGAAGCCCUCUUUCUCGAAUUUUGACCUCGGAUCAGGUAGGGAUACCCGCUGAACUUAAGCAUAUCAAUAAGCGGAGGA